rnacentral:rRNA from 1 species
GAUGAACGCUGGCGGCGUGCCUAAUACAUGCAAGUCGAGCGAACGGACGAGAAGCUUGCUUCUCUGAUGUUAGCGGCGGACGGGUGAGUAACACGUGGAUAACCUACCUAUAAGACUGGGAUAACUUCGGGAAACCGGAGCUAAUACCGGAUAAUAUUUUGAACCGCAUGGUUCAAAAGUGAAAGACGGUCUUGCUGUCACUUAUAGAUUGAUCCGCGCUGCAUUAGCUAGUUGGUAAGGUAACGGCUUACCAAGGCAACGAUGCAUAGCCGACCUGAGAGGGUGGUCGGCCACACUGGAACUGAGACACGGUCCAGACUCCUACGGGAGGCAGCAGUAGGGAAUCUUCCGCAAUGGGCGAAAGCCUGACGGAGCAACGCCGCGUGAGUGAUGAAGGUCUUCGGAUCGUAAAACUCUGUUAUUAGGGAAGAACAUAUGUGUAAGUAACUGUGCACAUCUUGACGGUACCUAAUCAGAAAGCCACGGCUAACUACGUG